GCACCAAAAAUUAAACUCGAAGGUUGCCGAUGGUCGUUAUUUUACGAUAGAUUUUUCGGUACUGUUCUCUUGACAAUUAAAUUAUAAAGACAACAGGGCGCGGUGUUUCUUGUCUCUUGCAUUUCUCGUCAGUUUCAUUUUUAAUUCAGAAAAGUGAGGUUCGUGCUACUAUUUAAAAAAAAUUGUUGCUUUCUGUUACCAAUUUUACAUUAAUAUUGUCACAGAAUAGCAAAAUGGGAUGGGCACACCAAGGACUGGACUGCGUAAAGGACAAAAGAACAAAGUAAUACAUUUUAGGAAGUGCGCGCAGAAAAAAGCAAACCCCGAAGCAGGAAGCAGCAAGCCCCCGUACACAAGGAGAGCGAUUCCGAUUAUUAAUUAUUUUGGUUCCUAAAUAUUGGAAUAAAAAAAUAAUUAUGAAUAUAAAA